GAGAUGGAUUUGUGCCUUCGGGAACUGUGAGACAGGUGCUGCAUGGCUGUCGUCAGCUCGUGUUGUGAAAUGUUGGGUUAAGUCCCGCAACGAGCGCAACCCUUAUCCUUUGUUGCCAGCGAUUAGGUCGGGAACUCAAAGGAGACUGCCAGUGAUAAACUGGAGGAAGGUGGGGAUGACGUCAAGUCAUCAUGGCCCUUACGACCAGGGCUACACACGUGCUACAAUGGCGCAUACAAAGAGAAGCGACCUCGCGAGAGCAAGCGGACCUCAUAAAGUGCGUCGUAGUCCGGAUUGGAGUCUGCAACUCGACUCCAUGAAGUCGGAAUCGCUAGUAAUCGUGGAUCAGAAUGCCACGGUGAAUACGUUCCCGGGCCUUGUACACACCGCCCGUCACACCAUGGGAGUGGGUUGCAAAAGAAGUAGGUAGCUUAACCUUCGGGAGGGCGCUUACCACUUUGUGAUUCAUGACUGGGGUGAAGUCGUAACAAGGUAACCGUAGGGGAACCUGC
rnacentral:rRNA from 1 species